UGCUAUACUGCAGUCGAACGCUUCUUUCCUCCCGAGUGCUUGCACUCAAUUGGAAAGAGGAGUGGCGGACGGGUGAGUAACACGUGGGUAACCUACCCAUCAGAGGGGGAUAACACUUGGAAACAGGUGCUAAUACCGCAUAACAGUUUAUGCCGCAUGGCAUAAGAGUGAAAGGCGCUUUCGGGUGUCGCUGAUGGAUGGACCCGCGGUGCAUUAGCUAGUUGGUGAGGUAACGGCUCACCAAGGCCACGAUGCAUAGCCGACCUGAGAGGGUGAUCGGCCACACUGGGACUGAGACACGGCCCAGACUCCUACGGGAGGCAGCAGUAGGGAAUCUUCGGCAAUGGACGAAAGUCUGACCGAGCAACGCCGCGUGAGUGAAGAAGGUUUUCGGAUCGUAAAACUCUGUUGUUAGAGAAGAACAAGGACGUUAGUAACUGAACGUCCCCUGACGGUAUCUAACCAGAAAGCCACGGCUAACUACGUGCCAGCAGCCGCGGUAAUACGUAGGUGGCAAGCGUUGUCCGGAUUUAUUGGGCGUAAAGCGAGCGCAGGCGGUUUCUUAAGUCUGAUGUGAAAGCCCCCGGCUCAACCGGGGAGGGUCAUUGGAAACUGGGAGACUUGAGUGCAGAAGAGGAGAGUGGAAUUCCAUGUGUAGCGGUGAAAUGCGUAGAUAUAUGGAGGAACACCAGUGGCGAAGGCGGCUCUCUGGUCUGUAACUGACGCUGAGGCUCGAAAGCGUGGGGAGCAAACAGGAUUAGAUACCCUGGUAGUCCACGCCGUAAACGAUGAGUGCUAAGUGUUGGAGGGUUUCCGCCCUUCAGUGCUGCAGCAAACGCAUUAAGCACUCCGCCUGGGGAGUACGACCGCAAGGUUGAAACUCAAAGGAAUUGACGGGGGCCCGCACAAGCGGUGG
rnacentral:rRNA from 1 species